AAAAAAAAAAGCCAAAUAAAGUACGAAGUUGAAGAGCAUUGAGGACCAAAAUUCCGAAAACCGAGUCAUAGUAUUAUUUUGUCUGUACUACACAUGUUAGAAUUUUUGGUUCUCAAUGCUCUUCAACUUUGUACUUGUUUGGCUUUUUAACUAUUU
rnacentral:sRNA from 1 species